rnacentral:tRNA from 1 species
GAGAACUUGUUCUCCACUAGCUUACCUGGUUAAAUAAAGGUGAAAUAAAAUAAAAUAAGAAACAUUUUUAAUCUUUCCCAGAACGGGGAUGUAGCUCAGUGGUAGAGCGCAUGCUUCGCAUGUAUGAGGUCCUGGGUUCAAUCCCCAGCAUCUCCAUUUAAAAUUAUUGCAUUGACCCAACUCCUACUUUACAGAAUGUUGUAAUUCUAAGCAGGAAACAGAGACGUGCUAAAUAAUUUGGUUUUGUAAUCUGAAGAACAUUCCUUCAAUCCCUGUUCGUACAAUUAUAGAACAGAAGUGGCAUGAUUGCCAUGUUUUAUGGCGUCAUUUUCAAAAACUGAAGUUUAUGGGUUCGAUCCCAGUCUGUACCUGGUUUAAGAAUUGCUGC